UACGAGUGCCUCGAGCGUUAUCCGGAAUUAUUGGGCGUAAAGCGCUCGUAGGCGGGACUGGAAGUCCGUGUUGAAAGACCUCGGCUCAACUGAGGGACCGGCUCGGAUACUCUAGUUCUUGAGGCAAUCAGAGGGUGAUGGAAUUCCCGGUGUAGCGGUGAAAUGCGUAGAUAUCAGGAAGAACACCCGUGGCUAAGGCGGCUCUCUAGUACGGUACUGACGCUGAGACGCGAAAGCGUGGGGAGCGAACAGG
rnacentral:rRNA from 1 species